UACGUAGGGUGCGAGCGUUGUCCGGAAUUACUGGGCGUAAAGGGCUUGUAGGUGGUUUGUCGCGUUGUUCGUGAAAUCCCGUGGCUUAACUGCGGGCGUGCGGGCGAUACGGGCAGACUGGAGUACUGCAGGGGAGACUGGAAUUCCUGGUGUAGCGGUGGAAUGCGCAGAUAUCAGGAGGAACACCGGUGGCGAAGGCGGGUCUCUGGGCAGUAACUGACGCUGAGAAGCGAAAGCGUGGGGAGCGAACAGG
rnacentral:rRNA from 1 species